GUUGUUUUCUUAAGGUCCGGAUUGUCACAGGUGUGGAGGCUAAUUCAUGAACCUAGAUUGGAAGACUCCAACAACCUUGGUGGUCCAUGCACCAACAAAAUUUAAACAACAAAAAUAAAAAUCUUUUCAGUUGAAAAUUCCCAUCCUUCAGGAAAAGGUUGGAUUUGAAGAAUAAUCAUGUGUAUUAUAGGUCCUAUCUCUCCAUAUGUCACAUUAGUUAUAUAUGAAAAGAUCAUCAACUAUUCACUCAAGAUCAUCAACUAUCUACCCUGUUUCAAUCUAGAAAAGGAAAAGCAGUAUUUGGUCUAGCUGGAUGUAUCUGACUAAUAAAUUGGACCUUACUAAUAAAUUGGAAUUUUUUAUUUAAUAAAUGUUUUCUUGAUGUACAUGCACUUUAGUUCCAUUAAAUUCUCAACCCUAAUCAUUCUGAUGAUAAUAAUGCAUGAAAUGGUUUGUUUAUGUUUAAAGUGGCUAGGAGAUGUAUUGGUGUGAAUUUUCUUGGGCUAGAAAUAAAUAAGAAGCUUGUGAAACGAUGUCUAGAUUUUGUUCAACAACAAGGCUUGAAGAAUGUGGUGCUAUUAAUGCGGCUUUUGUGGAGGCCAUCAGGCCCCAUGUUCUAGCACUCUGGAGCAGCCCUUAUGGGAAGAAAGUCCUUUCAAGCAACAGCCUGAAGAAGUAAUUUAUGUUGUUUCAGGAAGUUCUGCAAAACCUACAGGUAAUCUAUCGAAUUUUCGAAAACCUUUCAGGCAUAGUCCAAACCUUGGAUGCUGAACUUCUAGAAGAAAGGCAUUGUGCGACAUUUGAAUGACAUGGGUGAUUCAGAAACUCUCAGCCAUGAGCCAUAGGAGUCCUCUUUGCUGGUAGAAAAUAAUGAAAAGAACUCGGUUGGUAAUUUCAAGAGCCCCAUGGAUGCUAACAAAAAGCGUAAAAGAUGAAGUAUUGCCGGAUUGGCAAAGGUAACUUCUUUCGUUUCUUGUCUUUAUAAUAAAUUUGCAGCGGUUCCGUUUUGUUUUUGGAAUUAAGUGUUGGCUGUUACAUACAAUAGUUGUCAGUGUUGCAGAUCCUUGGGUAACAACAUUUAAUCAAUCACAUCUUUAUGUUUUGGUUGGAGAUGUCUUUCUUUUCCACCUUUUAUUCUUGGACAAAAUUUUGUUACUAGUUAAAUAUUAAUGCUCCCAAUUCUUGGACCUUGUUACCACUUCAAUCAUGUUGGAGUCAAAACUGGUUUGCUUCUACCUCUUCAACUGACCAUUGCUGUUGGCAUUGAGAGUUCUAUUUGGAACACUAUAUCAAAAGAUUGAGAUUUCUGAAUUAUUAUUUUCCUAAUUUAUCAUUUAUUAUUAUUAUUAUUUUUUUUUUUUUGUGAUUUUCUUCUUGAUGUGAAUUUCCCCUCCCAACCUCCAUUCCCCCAAAAAAAUCCCUUUGAAACUUCUCUUUUUCUUCCUUUUUCUUCUCUUCUUCUUCUUCAUCUCUUGAUAGGGUUUUAUCCUCUAUUUCCUCUUAGUAUCAGAGUAGGGAAAAACAUCUGCGAUUUCUCAACUACGAGUUUCAGUGCUGAUUUUUGCCAACCAUAAAUUCGAUUUUAUCCAAUCUUCAAACUCAGACCUUUCCUGUUGAAGAGUGGGCAGCAUACCCCACUUCUUGUCAAUAUGAUAGUUAGCUUCUAUACCCUUUGUACUAAGAGUAUGGAAAUUAUCCAGUUAUGGAUGCCUUCUUUCAUGCCUGUUUGAUGCACUGUUGAAUUGAAUUACUCUUCGUGGCCCGCCAAAGUGAUAAUACUUUCUUCUGUGUGUGUUUUAAUGCACUCUUCAAUUGAAUUACAAUUAGUAGCCUGCCAUUGUGAUAAUAACUGAUUCCUUGCCUCCUGCAUUAGCAUUCAUAGCAAAGGUUUCAGCUCCAAAUUUCAACUAAGCUUUCUAGUUGGACAUGAAAUGAAAGCAACCACAAUUUGGGGCUACUUCAUCCUUAUGAAUGCUAGGAAACAUCUCUAACUUUUUUGUCAUUUCCAUUUGAUCAAAUGAGACGAUUGCAAUUUAGUUUUUUGGUGUAUCUAAAAGCAGCCUUAUCAUUUUGAUUGAG